AGAGUUUGAUCCUGGCUCAGAACGAACGCUGGCGGCGUGCUUAACACAUGCAAGUCGAACGAGAAAGAGUUCUUCGGAACUUGAGUAAAGUGGCGCACGGGUGAGUAACGCGUAGAUAACCUGUCCUGGUGCCCGGGAUAACCCUUCGAAAGGGGGACUAAUACCGGAUACGUUGAUUAUUCUUAAGAAUAAUCAAGAAAGGUGGCCUCUAUUUAUAAGCUAUCGCAUUUGGAGGGGUCUGCGUACCAUUAGCUAGUUGGUGGGGUAAAAGCCUACCAAGGCUACGAUGGUUAGCGGGUCUGAGAGGAUGAUCCGUCACACUGGCACUGAAACACGGGCCAGACUCCUACGGGAGGCAGCAGUGAGGAAUAUUGCGCAAUGGGGGAAACCCUGACGCAGCGACGCCGCGUGAGUGAGGAAGGCCUUAGGGUCGUAAAACUCUGUCAGAAGGGAAGAAAUGUUAAGAGGUUAAUACCCUUUUAAUUUGACGGUACCUUCAAAGGAAGCACCGGCUAACUCCGUGCCAGCAGCCGCGGUAAUACGGAGGGUGCAAGCGUUGUUCGGAAUCACUGGGCGUAAAGGGCGCGCAGGCGGUUUGAUCAGUCAGAUG
rnacentral:rRNA from 1 species